GCCGAAGUGGCGGAACUGGCAUACGCGUCGGUCUCAAAAACCGAUCCCUUCACAGGGUUGUGGGUUCGACUCCCACCUUCGGUA
rnacentral:tRNA from 1 species